GACGAACGCUGACGGCGUGCUUAACACAUGCAAGUCGAAGGGAGUGGCGAACGGGUGAGUAACACGUGAGUAACCUGCCCUUUUCUUUGGGAUAAGCCUGGGAAACUGGGUCUAAUACUGGAUGGAUUGGGAUGGGCUCGCGGCUUAUCAUCUUGUUGGUGGGGUGAUGGCGUACCAAGGCUUUGACCGGUAGCCGGCCUGAGAGGGAUGUAGGUCACACAGGGGCUGAGAUACGGCCCAGACUCCUACGGGGGGCAGGAGUGGGGAAUAUUGCCCAAUGGGAGCAAGCAUGGUGCAACCAUUACGCGUGUAUGAAGAAGGCCUUCAGGUUGUAAAGUACUUUCAGUGGUGAGGCGUUACCCGCAGAAGAGGCACCGGAUAACUCGGUGCCAGCAGCCGCGGUAAUUC
rnacentral:rRNA from 1 species